UAAUGCUGCCUUCUUGUGGUUCUUCGUCAGUGGUUUUAGAAUUCUGCAGACUUCAAAUUAGAGUUAAGUUAACUAAUCCCUACCCCGAUUAAAAUCACACUACCAGCUUUAGGAUUAUGACUGUAUAUGCCAUAGACAAAUAAAGUGGCAUUGUUAACUAUUACAAAUGCAUAUUUCACUGUUUAAAUUAAUAUUGCUUUCACAGGGCUCAUCUCUUAAACACAUGUGGAUCCUCCAUAACACCUGUAUUCAUUGACUGCCAGCAGAAGCUACCAGGCUCUGCGACACACCCUUGGAAGAACUGAUCCCUGCAGGAUAUCACGAUUACGAAGUUGAGAGCAACGUGAUACAUCCAACCGGUCAUCGAGGCAACAUCCUCACUAGUGUUGGGGGCCAAAUCGAUGGCGACCACGCUGUGCAGUGGAUCGAGCAGAACAGUACCUACCGCCUUCUGUGCCUUCGGUUGAAAGGGUCUCCCGAAGCUGGAAUGGAAGAUGAAUCUCCGAAACCCUCCUCCUCCUUCUCCUCCUCCCUCUCCCUCUCCCUCUCCUUCUCCUUCUCCCUCUCCUUCUACUUCUCCUUCUCCCUCUCCUUCUCCUCCUUCUCCUUCUCCUCCUUCUCCCUCUCCUC
ensembl:lncRNA